GAUGUCGAAUAUCGACGUCAUAAACACGAAAGUUGACCGUGUUUAUGACGUCGAAUAUCGACGUCUUAAACACCUAAGUUGAUCGUGCUUAUGACGUCGAAUAUCGUCGUCAUAAGUACCAAACUUGAUCGUGUUUAUGACGUCGAAUAUCGACGUCAUAAACACCAAAGUUGAUCGUGUUUAUAACGUCGACGUCAUAAACACCAAAGUUGAACGUGUUUAUGACGUCGCAUAUCGACAUC
rnacentral:miRNA from 1 species